GCCGCUCCUCCGUGGAGGGGAAGAGCGCCUCCCUCAGGCGUAUCACUCCGCCGCCGAACGCACCACGGCUGCGGGCGUCCUCCGCCAGGGGGCUCGCCACAGGGCGGUACACCCUGUAGCGUCUAGAAGAGAGACAAUUAAGUAAAAUAUAUAUGUAUAUAGAUUUGGUUUGAAAUGAUGUUCCUUACCUGUACACCACACAUGCAAUAAGUGCAAAAAGUGCGAGCAGGACAGCGCUGGUAGUGAGGAUCACCAUCGAAGUGUCGGGCGUCUGGGACUCUAUGGAGGAAGCUUAAUGAACCUCCUGCAACACUUUCUUGCCCCUAUUUUGUGCACCUCACCUGGGCCCAGUUGGGACUUAUUGACGGUGACGGUCGUGGUGGUCUGAGUCAGGCUGCGGGAGUCCUCCAGGGUGAUGUUGACGCAGUAGGUGCCCGGCAGGGGGAAGCUUCUCCUCAGGUUCACCUCGCACUUGGCGGACGGCGGCACCUUGUCGCACACGAUGCUGUGCACCCACGUGCACGUGGCGUCCGACACGAUGGUACACGCCGACGUGGGGAUGCUGACCGCCCAGUACCUGAGGCCUCCAGCUCCAUGGCGUCGUCGCAGCGGUCAUCCCAUACUAGGUUCCCCGAGGCGUCCUCCUUCUGGCACGGGGCGUACUUGAGCUUGGCCGUGAAGGAGAUGAUGGAGCCGCUCAAAGCGGGACUGUCGCUGGAGGUGAAAGGUCAUCGAGUGAGAGGUCUUCAGCGGGGAAUCGGCUCAUGAGACGUCACAGUGAGCAAACCAUCAAACAUUUCAACGACUAAUAACAUAAUGCAUGUGAUAUUGUUAUAUACAUUGUGUUUAAGUGCGGUAGAAACAAUCCCACUUACUUUUGCGUGCCUCCGCUUGAUGAGCCAAACCGAUGCAAGCGAGCAGGAAAACACCUUGGAAAAGUCCCAUCUCGGAAGGUUGGAAAUAAUAAAAGCGAUGUGCUCCUUCAGUGGAUGUCAGCUCAGGAAGAUGUUCUCCUCCGCUCUGCUCUGAUUGUGUGUUUGUGAGCGCUAAUUGAAUCUGCUGCUGGUGAGCACACUGACAUGUGAUGUUGCUUAACCAGACGCAUCUCAUCCCUCAUUAGUGCGCACAAGGAAGUCAUGAGGACUGAGGUGCAUCCUCUUCCUCUUGUCUCCUCUUCACUUGCACCGUACAUGUAAAGAUGCUUAAUCAAUAUGCUGGUGAAUGAUUACAGUAUUGAAAUGGACAGUUGAAUGUUUAAAACUUCAGCAACAGUUGAAGAAACGCAACAGUCCCAUAUAUUGAAAUAAAUGUAAUCGACAGUGGGGGUACAGCUGUAUCAUUGAGAUGAAAAGCCGUUAUUUGUUUACUCUCGAUGUGUCUUUUCUUCUCAGAAACAUGGUCAAUUAAAUUUGGUGAUACCAAUCACUUCCCAGAACAUCAUGUGACCCAAUUAAUACAAAUGUUAUUUCAUUUAUUCCAUUAGUCAGAG